UCUGUCGCGAGUGUUUCGUGACAGUGGUUUUAUAAUCGUAUCGGUUGGCUUUUCACGUCUUCUGAUAUCAUCGUUGAAAACAAUAUUCAUCACAAAAGGUGGAUGCCACGAUAAAUGAAGUCUGUUCUUAGAAUGAAUAAAUUUAUGGACUAAUUGUUGCAUUUUAUCAACAUUGUGAAAUCGUGUGCCAGAAAGACUGUGCUACAUAGAACGAAACGCUGUUAGCAAUAAUCGCCACUUCAAUAAACCUAGCUGGACGGAGUUCCAGAUGUAUAUGCGCGACGCUUUGCGGGCGACAAAACAACGCCAUAGGAUGAAUAUCCGCGAGCCAUGUGAGCGACGUACAGCCCGCAGGUUAUGGGAUGACGAGCAGGGCGAACCGCAGGACGAAGCUAUAGAAGCGCCUAAUGAAAACAAUUAAUGUAUUUUUCAUAUACGCUAGAUGACACUUCUUACAAGAUGUCGUGGAGUCAUGGACCUAAAAGAGAGAG